UCGAGAAUCUUGGGCAAUGCGCGAAAGCGUGACCCAGCAAUGCCGCGUGCAUGAUGAAGGCCUUCGGGUUGUAAAAUGCUGUCACCCGGGAAGAAUACAAUGACGGUACCGGGGGAGGAAGCCACGGCUAACUACGUGCCAGCAGCCGCGGUAAUACGUAGGUGGCGAGCGUUGUUCGGAUUUAUUGGGCGUAAAGGGUCUGUAGGAGGUUUCUUAAAUUCGAGGUGAAAUCCCGAAGCUCAACUUCGGAACUGCCUUGGAGACUGGGAGACUAGAGGAUUGGCGAGGUAAGCGGAAUACCAAGUGUAGCGGUGGAAUGCGUAGAUAUUUGGUAGAACACCAAGAGCGAAGGCAGCUUGCUGGACAAUAACUGACUCUGAAAGACGAAAGCGUGGGGAGCAAACA
rnacentral:rRNA from 1 species